rnacentral:rRNA from 1 species
UACGAAGGGGGCUAGCGUUGUUCGGAAUCACUGGGCGUAAAGGGCGCGUAGGCGGCCGAUCAAGUCGGGGGUGAAAGCCUGUGGCUCAACCACAGAAUUGCCUUCGAUACUGGUUGGCUUGAGACCGGAAGAGGUAAGUGGAACUGCGAGUGUAGAGGCGAAAUUCGUAGAUAUUCGCAAGAACACCAGUGGCGAAGGCGGCUUACUGGUCCGGUUCUGACGCUGAGGCGCGAAAGCGUGGGGAGCAAACAGG